UCUUCCUACGGUGCGCAGCAGUGGGGAAUAUUGCACAAUGGGGGAAACCCUGAUGCAGCGACGCCGCGUGAGCGAAGAAGUAUUUCGGUAUGUAAAGCUCUAUCAGCAGGGACGAAAAUGACGGUACCUGAGUAAGAAGCCCCGGCUAACUACGUGCCAGCAGCCGCGGUAAUACGUAGGGGGCAAGCGUUAUCCGGAUUUACUGGGUGUAAAGGGAGCGUAGACGGUUAUGCAAGUCUGGAGUGAAAGGCGGGG
rnacentral:rRNA from 1 species